UUGAAACACUGGUUCUCGUAAGAUCACUGAUGUUAAGCAAUGUAGAGCCUGGUCUGUACCUUGGUGGGUGAUGGCAUGAGAAUACAAGGUGCUAU